AGUGAAUAAUGUGAGGAAAGUCCGUGCAUCCAAGGACAGGCCGCCGGAGAAACUCCGGGCAGCGCGAGCUGGCGGAUAGGACCACAGAAAAAAUACAGCUAACGGCUUAAAACUAAGUACGAGCGAAGGUGCAACGGUGAGGUAAGAGCGUCACCGGCGGUAUUGAGAGAUACCGGCCAGGCAACCCCCGGCAGGAUGCAAGAUUAAAUAGAAGGUUUAAAGGCUGUCCGCCCACUUCUGAAAAAUCGCUAGAGAUUGAAAGUAAUUUCAAUACCAGACAGAUGAUUAUCUAAAACAGAACACGGCUUACGGGCUGCUUUA
rnacentral:RNase_P_RNA from 1 species